rnacentral:rRNA from 1 species
ACUCCUACGGGAGGCAGCAGUGGGGAAUAUUGCACAAUGGGCGCAAGCCUGAUGCAGCAACGCCGUGUGAGUGAAGAAGGUUUUCGGAUCGUAAAACUCUGUCCUAAGGGAAGAAACCAAAUGACGGUACCUUAGGAGGAAGCCCCGGCUAACUACGUGCCAGCAGCCGCGGUAAUACGUAGGGGGCAAGCGUUAUCCGGAAUCACUGGGGCGUAAAGGGUGCGUAGGCGGCUUAGCAAGCCAGGGGUGAAAGGCAUUGGCUCAACCAAUGUAAGCCUUUGGAACUGUUAAGCUUGAGUGCAGGAGAGGUAAGUGGAAUUCCUAGUGUAGAGGUGAAAUUCGUAGAUAUUAGGAGGAACACCAGUGGCGAAGGCGACUUACUGGACUGUAACUGACGCUGAUGCACGAAAGCGUGGGUAGCGAACAGGAUUAGAUACCCUGGUAGACUGUCA